UCGCCUACAUACAGUGCACUGAGGGGACGGAAAUAACCGUCGCACCCCCUUUGAGUGGUACUACAUUCCCACACCAGCAAUAAAGGAUCGAGGCACUUGUCAGAACUGGGCUUUUCAGCAGCAGCCAAGUGGCAAUGGCCAGCUCUGUGUAAAACAUGUAAAUGGAAGCUGUGGGUUGACUGAAAAUGAAAAGUUACGCAAUCAGCGCUUUCAUCCUCUGUUUUGCAGCAUUAGUUUGAACGUACACUUUGUUUCGUUGCGCAACAGAUUCAUCCUCCUCACCUGGGGGUGUGGACGUACCGGAACUACUCCUACCACCAGAAUUACUCCUACCACCAGAACUACUCCUACCACCAGAACUACUCAUACAAUCAGAAUUACUCCUACCACCAGAACUACUCCUGCCACCAGAACUAUUCCUACAAUCAGAACUACUCCUACCACCAGAACUACUCCUGCCACCAGAACUAUUCCUACAAUCAGAACUACUCCUACCACCAGAACUACUCCUGCCACCAGAACUAUUCCUACAAUCAGAACUACUCCUACCAUCAGAAUUACUCCUACCACCAGAACUACUCCUGCCAUCAGAACUAUUCCUACAAUCAGAACUACUCCUACCAUCAGAACUACUACUCCUACCACGGGGGUUACUCCUACCAUCAGAACUACUACUCCUACCACCGGAACUACUCCUACUGUACCACCGGAACUACUCCUACUGUACCACCAGAACUACUCCUACCACCAGAACUACUCCGACAAACAGAACUACUAAUAUCAUCAGAACUACUCCUACCACCAGAACUACUCCUACCAUCAGAACUACUCCUACCACGGGUUACUCCUACUGUACCACCAGAACUACUACUCCUACCACCAAAACUACUACUCCUACCACCAAAACUACUCCUACCACCAGGAUUACUCCUACCACCAGAUCUACUCUUACCACCAGAACUACUCCUACCAUCAGCACUACUCCUACAAUCAGCACUAUUCCUACCACCAGAACAAACCUCUACCAACAUAACUACUCCUACCAUCAGAACUACUCCUACAUCAGAAAUACUCCCACCAUCAGUACUACUCCUACCACCAGAACUAUUACUCCUACCAUCGCUGGUCCAUUUCUGUCUAUACCCUCUGACAAUGACGCUACACUAUGGCAACACUUAUCCAUCUCAACAUCUCUUGAAUGAAUAGCCUC
rnacentral:lncRNA from 1 species